rnacentral:rRNA from 1 species
UGGCUCAGGGUGAACGCUGGCGGUAUGCCUAAGACAUGCAAGUCGCACGGGCUGUUUUUGCAGCUAGUGGCGGACGGGUGAGUAACACGUAGGUGACCUACCCCAAAGUCUGGGACAACUAGGAGAAAUCUUAGGCUAAUCCCGGAUGUGGACCUCGGUUUUGGCCGAUGUUUAAAGCUUCGGCGCUUUGGGAUGGGCCUGCGGCGCAUCAGGUAGUUGGUGGGGUAAAGGCCUACCAAGCCGACGACGCGUAGCUGGUCUGAGAGGACGAUCAGCCACAGGGGUACUGAGACACGGACCCCACUCCUACGGGAGGCAGCAGUUAGGAAUCUUCCGCAAUGGGCGAAAGCCUGACGGAGCGAUACCGCUUGAAGGACGAAGCCCUUCGGGGUGUAAACUUCUGAACUCGGGGACGAUGAUGACGGUACCGAGGGUAAUAGCACCGGGCUAACUCCGUGCCAGCCGCCGCCGUAAACCC